GGGCCCUGGGGGCUCCCAGGGCCUGGGCAACUUAGUUACAGCUGACCAAGGAGAAAGUAGUUUUGAGAUGUGAUGCCAGUGUGCUCCAGAAAGUGUAAGGGGUCUGUUUUUCAUUUCCAUGGACAUCUUCCACAGCUUCACCUGACAAUGACUGUUCCUAUGAAGAAGCCACUUGUGUUCUAAGCAGAAGCAACCUCUCUCUUCUUCUCUGUCUUUUCCAGGCAGGGGCAGAGAUGGGAGAGAUUGAGCCAAAUGAGCCUUCUGUUGGUUAAUACUGUAUAAUGCAUGGCUUUGUGCACAGCCCAGUGUGGGGUUACAGCUUUGGGAUGACUGCUUAUAAAGUUCUGUUUGGUUAGUAUUGGCAUCGUUUUUCUAUAUAGCCAUAAUGCGUAUAUAUACCCAUAGGGCUAGAUCUAUAUCUUAGGGUAGUGAUGUAUACAUAUACACAUACACCUACAUGUUGAAGGGCCUAACCAGCUUUGGGAGUACUGACUGGUCUCUUAUCUCUUAAAGCUAAGUUUUUGACUGUGCUAAUUUACCAAAUUGAUCCAGUUUGUCCUUUAGAUUAAAUAAGACUCGAUAUGAGGGAGGGAGGGGAGACCAGCCUCACAAUGCGGCCACAGAUGCCUUGCUGCUGCAGUCCUCCCUGAUCUGUCCACUGAAGACAUGAAGUCCUCUUUUGAAUGCCAAACCCACCAUUCAUUGGUGCUGACUACAUAGAAUGGGGUUGAGAGAAGAUCAGUUUGGACUUCACAUUUUUGUUUUAAGUUUUAGGUUGUUUUUUUUUGGUUUUGUUUGUUUGUUUGUUUGUUUGUUUUUGUUUUUUGUUUUUCUUUUUUUUAAGUUCUUGUGGGAAACUUUGGGGUUAAUCAAAGGAUGUAGUCCUGUGGUAGACCAGAGGAGUAACUAGUUUUGAUCCCUUUGGGGUGUGGAAAAUGUACCCAGGAAGCUUGUGUAAGGAGGUUCUGUGACAGUGAACACUUUCCACUUUCUGACACCUCAUCCUGCUGUACGACUCCAGGAUUUGGAUUUGGAUUUUUCAAAUGUAGCUUGAAAUUUCAAUAAACUUUGCUCCUUUUUCU
rnacentral:lncRNA from 1 species